rfam:Lactococcus garvieae Lg2 DNA, complete genome.
AAAACCUUUAACUUAGUCCAGAGAGGCUAGCAAGGAUACGAUAAAUUAUAUCUCCCUUUAUUUCGCGGACUUUUGCAUGCGUAAAGGAAGAUAGACGCUUUUUGUACACCUGCAGCCCUCUGCAGGUGUUUUUUAUU